CUGGCGGCGUGCCUAAUACAUGCAAGUCGAACGGUCUUUCUAUGGAAGCUUGCUUCCACUGAGAAGAUAGUGGCGAACGGGUGAGUAACACGUGGGUAACCUGCCCAUAAGAGGGGGAUAACAUCCGGAAACGGGUGCUAAUACCGCAUAGUUUUCUUGAUCGCAUGAUCGGGAAAGGAAAGACGGCCUUUGUGCUGUCGCUUAUGGAUGGACCCGCGGCGUAUUAGUUAGUUGGUGAGGUAACGGCUCACCAAGACGAUGAUACGUAGCCGACCUGAGAGGGUGAUCGGCCACAUUGGGACUGAGACACGGCCCAAACUCCUACGGGAGGCAGCAGUAGGGAAUCUUCCGCAAUGGACGAAAGUCUGACGGAGCAACGCCGCGUGAGUGAAGAAAAGGGUUUUCGGAUCGUAAAACUCUGUUGUCAGAGAAGAACAAGUUGGAGAGUAACUGCUCCAGCCUUGACGGUAUCUGACCAGAAAGCCACGGCUAACUACGUGCCAGCAGCCGC
rnacentral:rRNA from 1 species